GACGAACGCUGGCGGCGUGCUUAACACAUGCAAGUCGAACGGAAAGGCCCUGCUUUUGUGGGGUGCUCGAGUGGCGAACGGGUGAGUAACACGUGAGUAACCUACCCUUGACUUUGGGAUAACUUCAGGAAACUGGGGCUAAUACCGGAUAGGAGCUCCUGCUGCAUGGUGGGGGUUGGAAAGUUUCGGCGGUUGGGGAUGGACUCGCGGCUUAUCAGCUUGUUGGUGGGGUAGUGGCUUACCAAGGCUUUGACGGGUAGCCGUCCUGAGAGGGUGACCGGCCACAUUGGGACUGAGAUACGGCCCAGACUCCUACGGGAGGCAGCAGUGGGGAAUAUUGCACAAUGGGCGGAAGCCUGAUGCAGCAACGCCGCGUGCGGGAUGACGGCCUUCGGGUUGUAAACCGCUUUCGCCUGUGACGAAGCGUGAGUGACGGUAAUGGGUAAAGAAGCACCGGCUAACUACGUG
rnacentral:rRNA from 1 species